GACGAACGCUGGCGGCGUGCUUAACACAUGCAAGUCGAACGGAAAGGCCCUGCUUUUGUGGGGUGCUCGAGUGGCGAACGGGUGAGUAACACGUGAGUAACCUGCCCUUGUCUUUCGGAUAACUUCAGGAAACUGGGGCUAAUACCGGAUAGGAGCUCCUGCUGCAUGGUGGGGGUUGGAAAGUUUCGGCGGUUGGGGAUGGACUCGCGGCUUAUCAGCUUGUUGGUGGAGUAGUGGAUUACGAAGGCUUUGAAGGGUAGCCGGCCUGAGAGGGUGACCGGGCACCUGGGGACUGAGAGACGCACCAGACGCGUACGUGAGGCAGCAGGGGGGAAUAUUGCACAAUGAGCGGAAGCCUGAGGCAGCAACGCCGCGUGCGGGAUGCCGGCCUUCGGGUUGUAAACCGCUGUCGCCUGUGACGAAGCGGGAGUGACGGUAAUUGGUAAAGAAGCACCGGCUAACUACGUG
rnacentral:rRNA from 1 species